rnacentral:rRNA from 1 species
AUUGAACGCUGGCGGCAGGCCUAACACAUGCAAGUCGAACGAGUGGCGGACGGGUGAGUAAUGUCUGGGAAACUGCCCGAUGGAGGGGGAUAACUACUGGAAACGGUAGCUAAUACCGCAUACCAUCGGAUUUGCCCAGAUGGGAUUAGCUAGUAGGUGGGGUAAAGGCUCACCUAGGCGACGAUCCCUAGCUGGUCUGAGAGGAUGACCAGCCACACGGGAACUGAGCAACGGUCCAGACUCCUACGGGAGGAAGCAGUGGGGAAUAUUGCACAAUGGGCGCAAGCCUGAGGCGGCAAGGCCGCGUAUAUGAAGAAGGCCUUCGGGUUGUAAAGUACUUUCAGCGGGGAGGCGUUACCCGCAGAAGAAGCACCGGCUAACUCCGUGCCAGCCGCCGCGGUAAUUC